UACGUAGGGGGCAAGCGUUGUCCGGAAUCAUUGGGCGUAAAGAGCUCGUAGGCGGCUCAGUAAGUCGGGUGUGAAACCCCCAGGCUCAACCUGGGGACGCCACCCGAUACUGCUGUGGCUAGAGUCCAGUAGGGGAGUGUGGAAUUCCCGGUGUAGCGGUGAAAUGCGCAGAUAUCGGGAGGAACACCAGCGGCGAAGGCGGCACUCUGGGCUGGUACUGACGCUGAGGAGCGAAAGCGUGGGUAGCAAACAGG
rnacentral:rRNA from 1 species